rnacentral:rRNA from 1 species
UACGUAGGGUGCAAGCGUUGUCCGGAUUCACUGGGUUUAAAGGGUACGUAGGCGGUUCGUUAAGUCUGUGGUGAAAGUUUGUGGCUCAACCAUAAAAUUGCCAUGGAUACUGGCGAACUUGAGUAUCGGAGAGGAGAGUGGAAUUCGUAGUGUAGCGGUGAAAUGCAUAGAUACUACGAGGAACACCAAUUGUGAAGACAGCUCUCUGGCCGAUAACUGACGCUGAGGUACGAAAGCGUGGGUAGCGAACAGG